GUCUCCUGGGGACAUACCAUCAAGAAUUUAUUCAGUGGUGUUGUAAGGCUACAGGGAGUGCAAAAGAAUCUGCCGCACUUUUGUACUAAUCACCUUGAUCCCACUUCGUGCUUCUUCCCUCAGAAUUUGAUUGCCGGUAUUAGAACCCCACUAUUCAUUCUUAAUACUGCCUAUGACUCAUGGCAGGUCCAAACAAGCUUAGCUCCUUCAUCAGCUGAUCCCCAUGGCUUUUGGCAUGAUU